GACACUUUCACCAUCAGUCUGCACUUGUUGUUGUCAUUGCAACUUUGCACCCUGAGUCCGUGCCACAUAGUAGAACAGAGACACACCGCUAAACACGAGCUGCCCUAGAUCACAGCGCUUGUGUGCUCAACACUUAUUUGAUCAGCUAGUGUUGACAGAUCAUACCUAAUGCUCGUAAAGGAAUGUUUGGAUGAGUUAGUCCGAGCUCAACGGCCCCUGCGACCCGCCGCCGGCCUUUCAGCCCGUCGCACCCUUGAAGUCCAGCCGAAAGAGACCUUGAGGAGUCAUUUCAGAGAGAGAUGGAGGGGAAGCACAGAAACACGGCAUGCGGGAGGGACUGUGACCUCGAGCGGCCGCUGAUUACGCAGCCACACGCCAUCAACAUGUAACAGCAGCGAGUUCACUCACUCUAGUGCCCUUGAUGCACUCGCCGGACAGGAGACUGACAUGUACCGUGAUACAGCACUUAUCACCUUCACGGUCUCUUCAUCGCCUUUUAGGGACAUUAUUACCUAAUUAGACUAAAGACAAUGCAGUACACCUCCAGUAUGGAGAUUAGUGACCAAUAAAUAACUUUACUCAACUUUAUUCAUUCCCUGUGUGGAUAUGCCUUAAAGACCUUUUAACAUUUUUUGAUUUCAUUUAAAUUACUUCAGUCCACAAAACAUAAUUGAUCUUAAUCGCAAAACAUUUAUAAACUGUGGUAAUGUUUGCUGUACAGUCAUCAAAUCAGAAUUACCACUGAAAAAUACUAAGAAAAAACUCAAAAGUGCUUUUGUAUGUGUAUCAUAAAUAAAUGAAUAAAUAAUAUUAAUAAUAAUAAAACAUAAUGACAGAUUGAACUAUACUAUUAGGUUGUUCUCUAUGUAAUAAAUAUUUACAAUUGCAUAAAUUGUUUAAUUUUUUUUUUUUUU